UAGCGCAUUUGUCUUCGCGCAGUGCGGAGAAUCGUCACAGACGUCAAAAAAGUUCGUUAUAUACAAAUUCUGUUAUUGUUUUUAUUUGCUUGUAUCAACAGAAUAAAAUAAGAAGAGUGGAAACAUUCGCAGGACUUGAAAUCUCGAGGAGCAAUGGGUAAAGGAGGAAAAGGUGGCGGUGGAAAGGGUGGAGAUAAGAAAGCUGCACCCGCGAGCGGCGGAGCAUCCGGUGGAAAAGCCGCGGACGCUAAGGGCGACGCGAACAAAAACAAAGGCGGCAAAAAGGGUGGGAAAAAAUAAUGUUCUUUGCGUACGAAGGGAAGCGAUUUAUCACGAAGCGUAUUCGGACCACUUCUACCUCGAUAAUUCCCCUCGCCCCGGCCCCUCAAAACCCUCAAAUUUGUGAUUCAUUAAAUUACUCGCUCGAAAUGCUCGCAUUGUUUAUCAACUUCGUUGAAUAAAGAAUAUUGAAUUUCA
rnacentral:lncRNA from 1 species